CUGGUGAUGGACAUUGCCUGGAAUGGGUGAGAAAGGAAACAAAGACCCCGGAAGAGACUCGGGUCGCCAUGGAAGACUGGAUGCCUAGGGAAUUAUGGAGUGAGAUAAACUGGCUACUAGUGGGGUUUGGGCAGCAGGUCUGCCUCCCUGUGUCUCCCCGGUGCUCUGAAUGUCUCAACAAGGAUAUCUGU